GGGCUCGGCGCGCGCCUCCCUCGUCACGUGAGGCCGGUGGCGGGCUCUUCCGAACCGCCGGCGGUUCAACAACGGUAACGGGCGGCUCCGUCCCCGCCGCGGGUGGGGCUGUACUUAUUGCCUGCUGCGAUGGCGAUGCAAGUGCAGUUCGAAGGAAACGCAGAUACGUCGGCAGAGGAGGAGAGCUUUGGGCCACAGCUCAUAUCUAGGUUAGAGCAAUGUGGUAUAAAUGCAAAUGAUGUGAAGAAAUUGGAAGAAGCUGGAUUUCACACUGUCGAGGCUGUUGCUUAUGCACCAAAGAAGGAGCUACUAAAUAUUAAAGGCAUCAGUGAAGCCAAAGCUGACAAAAUCUUGGCUGAAGCAGCCAAACUGGUUCCAAUGGGUUUCACCACCGCAACGGAAUUCCACCAGCGAAGGUCAGAGAUCAUCCAGAUCACCACUGGGUCCAAAGAACUUGAUAAACUCCUUCAAGGAGGAAUAGAAACAGGGUCCAUAACAGAGUUGUUUGGGGAGUUUCGUACUGGAAAAACACAGUUGUGUCAUACCCUGGCAGUAACCUGUCAACUUCCCAUUGACCGAGGUGGUGGAGAAGGAAAAGCUAUGUACAUUGACACAGAAGGGACCUUCCGCCCAGAACGUCUUCUUGCUGUGGCUGAAAGGUACGGCUUGUCUGGCAGUGAUGUGCUAGAUAAUGUGGCGUAUGCUCGAGGCUUUAACACGGAUCAUCAGACCCAGCUCCUGUAUCAGGCCUCUGCCAUGAUGGCUGAAUCACGAUACGCGCUGCUGAUAGUGGACAGUGCCACGGCCCUUUAUCGGACGGAUUACUCGGGAAGAGGUGAGCUGUCAGCCAGACAGAUGCAUCUGGCCAGAUUUCUGCGUAUGCUGCUUCGACUUGCAGAUGAGUUUGGCGUGGCGGUUGUGAUCACUAACCAAGUGGUAGCACAAGUAGAUGGAGCAGCCAUGUUUGCUGCAGAUCCCAAAAAACCCAUCGGAGGAAAUAUCAUAGCACACGCUUCCACCACGAGACUGUAUCUGCGAAAAGGCCGAGGUGAAACCAGAAUCUGUAAAAUUUAUGACUCUCCUUGCCUUCCUGAGGCUGAAGCAAUGUUUGCCAUUAAUGCUGAUGGAGUGGGCGAUGCUAAAGACUGACGACUCCCUCUCGUCUCCCCCGUAACCCAAGGCUCGGGCUCCGUAGAGGACUCCUUUCUUUGCUCUUUGCGGCACCUUACGGAUGCUUCCCCAGCGCAACUGCUCUUCGGACGCUGGUGUUUCAGCACAGAAGUCCAUCAGAUGAACACGCUUUGAGACCCAUCUCGAGGUGUAGCUUGGGAGAGACCUACCCUCUUGGGCUUCAGGCACGUGUUAGAGUAACCUGAGUUCUUGAGAAGGUUUUCAGAAGACCACGGCCUUUGUGUUCUCCUCGUGGCUCUUGCUCCAGCUGGAUCCUGCCAGCAGACAUAGUGCGGUAACCUAAGAGUGGGGUUUAAAUGCUCUGAAUACGAACUUUGAACAGGCUGAAGAAUCCCAGGAGGACCGGAAGGCUGAAAGCAGCGCUGCCUCCGUGCUGUCCUGUGGCACUCGGCGGGGCAGUUACCCCGCUCUGCAGAGCAGCGGCGUUGCUGACGGAAUUGCGCUGCUGGCCUUUUCUCCCAGGCUUCACCAGUGCCAUCCUCUGCUGAGGCUUUGAACAGCUACAACUGCACCUGAAGUCCUCUCUGCUCGUGUCGUGCUCAGCAUGGAAAGGAUUUUUCCGAGCAGCCUGCAGCACUUCCCUCAGCCGUGAGAGGUUGGUAACCGACGGGGGAGCGAAGGGCAAGAAACGAGGAGAAAUUUGUUCCUCUUCUCGGAGCUCUGACACGGCUCAGGCUCUGAACGCAGGGGGGUUUGGGGGGCUUUGGUUUGUUUCUUUUAUACACAACAACCCUUUUUGAAAGAUCUUUCUCAAGUCAUGACACCCGUAGCAGCUGCACAGCCAAGUAUUCCCAUAGGGGGGUUAAGUUGCUUACGACACAAUGCUAUGAAACACUAAUUAAAUAAGCUUAUUGUCAACAUUGCUUUAACCUCAAGGAGGCAUAAUUAAUAUUCCUUUAGUAAACAUUUCUCCUGCUGUCUCCUUGAGAUGCUUCUCUCAGUGUUUCCCCGGAAGUUCCUCUGGAGGCAGUGGUGUAUGAGUAGAAAUCGUGCUCACUUUGCCGUUCUGAAGCGUGUGUGUGUGUGUGUACGCCGUCGUCCAGCCGGUCUCUGCUGCGCUCCAGCCCCCGGCUCCAGGUGAGGAGGGCAUCCUAACUGGAUUGAAACGUGUACGGAAAGACGGGCAUUACUCUGAACUACUAAUGCUCACGUUAGAGCGCGGUUUGAUUAAACUGACAACAGAUGGCCUGCAGCGGUUUGUUUCCGUGUUUCCCGGGGAGUUGCCCGAGCCCCCCGGCAGCUGCCCUCUUUGCUCCUGGUUUGGGUUUCCCGGGGAGCUGGCGAUGCCGGCAGCUGCCCAACCCGCCUGUGGCACACCCAUUAAACCCCUUCGUCCACAAAGGCACGGCACGGGCAGCGAGGGAGGCUCCCCGCGGAAAGGACGCGGGCGCAAGGUUGUGCUGGGGAAUAUUCCCGUGUUUCCUCGAACAGCCCCGUCUCGUAACCCCGCCUGCCGCCCUGCGGGCAGGAGCUGGCUGCCCCCGCAGCCUGGGUGCGCGCAGUGUGUUCCUGAUCCCCGCCUUUAGCAGCAAAUCCGGCAUUUUUCCAGCGUGCGGUGCGAGUGCAAAGUGCGGCCGGGCGGCUCCACUUCUCCCUCCCGUGGGCUUCGCAAAUACACAAACCCGCCGUGUGGCAGCGGCGCGGCGCGGCAUGUGCUUUUAAUUAUGGGGAGGAAUCUUCGUUAAAAGGUCAGUCGUGUCUCUGCGUGUGGUUUAUGUUGCCCCGUGCCUCCGAGACCCCAGGGCGCGGGUUUGGCCUCGCAGGGUGGCCCCGUGCGACCCCCACUCAAGGGCUGAGGUACGGCUUGGUUAUUGUCACCGCGUAACGAGUUAAUUGAACUACACAAACUCGUGCUUGAGCUCAGCGUUACCCUGCUGGCCUUGGCCGUGUUGGUCUUGGCGGUGGCGUGAGAUCGAUGUGUGUUUAUGCGCUGAAAUGCAGCUUUAAUUCCCCGUUCUUCAAUUCCUCAUCCUUCCUGGCACAGACCCCUCCGUGGUCAGAAGAACUGAAAAGACAAAUUGCCGACUCCUGCUGUGACUACGACGGCCAUCUACCAUCCACUGUUUCCCUUUCGGACUGUCUCAGCCUUUAUUUUCAGCAGAAACUGUAAAAUAUAAAUGGGUUUCUCCGUGCCGUAGAGUUACGUGGUUCUUCGCUCCGCCUGGCUCCAGCCACAAGACACUUGGGCGGCUUUAGUAACUCUAACCUGGAGGCUUCAAACCAGGGAAGAAGAAAAGUGAAAGGGGGGCAACGCCGCAGCUUAAAGUUAGGUCCAGAGCACGGAGCAGGUCUUACAGACCCGCAGCGAAGGCAGAGGUUUGCGCUUUGG